rnacentral:rRNA from 1 species
GAUGAACGCUAGCGGCAGGCCUAAUACAUGCAAGUCGAACGGGAUUGCGGUAGUAGCUUGCUACUACUGCAUGAGAGUGGCGCACGGGUGCGUAACGCGUGAGCAACCUACCCAUAUCAGGGGGAUAGCCCGGCGAAAGUCGGAUUAACACCGCAUAACAUCAACAGUUCGCAUGUUCAGUUGAUUAAAUAUUUAUAGGAUAUGGAUGGGCUCGCGUGACAUUAGCUAGUUGGUAGGGUAACGGCUUACCAAGGCAACGAUGUCUAGGGGCUCUGAGAGGAGAAUCCCCCACACUGGUACUGAGACACGGACCAGACUCCUACGGGAGGCAGCAGUAAGGAAUAUUGGUCAAUGGGCGCAAGCCUGAACCAGCCAUGCCGCGUGCAGGAGGACUGCCCUAUGGGUUGUAAACUGCUUUUAGCAGGGAAUAAACCCCUUUACGAGUAGAGGGUUGAAUGUACCUGAAGAAUAAGGAUCGGCUAACUCCGUG